ACUUAGGAUUAUAGCCUCCAGUUCCACCCAUGUUGCUGCAGAAGCUAUAAUUUUAUUCUUUUGAAUGUUCUUUCUGGCUGUGAGAGUCUGUGAUCUUGGCAAGUGAUAGACCCCUAUGACCAAUGAAUCACAACUUAAAUGAGUACCAAGUUCCCAGCUGAUCUGUGAAAAGGAGCUCAGUGAGAGGAAUCAGUGAUCUUAUAUCAGUCAUAUGGAAUGAGGUAAAAGUGCAUGCUUCAUGUUAUGUUACUUUCUUUUGCUUGAGAAUGCUAAAUUUGGAAAAUAUAUAAUAUGACGUACUUGUGACAAUUGAAUUGUAAGAGAUUUUAUCUGAUAUUGCUUUAGAAAACAGAAAUAAUUGCUUCAAAGGAUAAAGGAUAGAAGGUUCUGAUAAAGCUUGCUUACUUUUUGCGGGGAGGCAUGGGGGGAAAUGUCUCAGUGCCCAAGGUCAGUGGCCUUCCUGACUGAAGACUUUCCCAGAGUAGAGGGUAAGAGUGGGAACAGGAAUAUCAGUUUAAAGUCAUCUUCAUAAUAUUCUGGUGAGUGACUGAUUCCUUCAGAAGCAAACAGGCACAUGGUAAAAAUAUUGGUAAUGUGACUGUAGUGUUGUUACUGUCAUUUUUUUCUUUAUUAACUAUGAUAUUGCUUACGGAUAGCAGUCAGAGUAGUAGUAUAUUUAUAAUCAUGAACCUCUUAGGGUUGCUGGUUUGGUGUUUCAAAGUUUUUCAGUCAUCCAUAUUAAACUUUUAAAGAUAUCUUGUGUGAAAAUCCAAUUCAAAUUAUGUAGAAUUAAGAUAUUAUAUUAUUUAGGAUAAACAAAUUAAGUGUGUUUGUCAUGAUUCUGUAAGUUGAUCUUAUUUGCUAUCAGGUAUUUUAAUUCAUGAAUGCAGUGUGAUAAUAUUUGUUAAAAAUAAUAGGCACAUAUAUUUCCAUUGUAUUUAAAUUAUGAUCUGGCCUAUUCAAAAUUAACAUAGAUUGAUUUUGACCGAAGAGGUCUAGAAAGCAAGACCUUUUAGAAGAGAAGUGGAAAACAGAGUCAUUUCGUAGUUUCAUUCUGCUACCCAAGAUGAAGCUGGGUCACAGAUUGCUGUAGACAUUUUAAAAUAACUCCGUGGAUCCCUCCCCUUCCACCCACUUUUCUCUGCUAUAUCCACAGAUAAUUCUCUACAUAUUUAUAGUUCGAGAGGGGGAAAUGACUCUCCAAGAGUUAACUUCAGUUACACAUUGGUGGGCCGUAACUGUGCUCUGAGUGCCAGUGAGAACUGUAUGUCAAAAAUGCCACCUUCUCUCUUAUUAAUGCUGACUUAGCAAAAACAGGGAAUUUAGAGCAAGUCAGAAUUCUUGUUUCACUGUCCUAUUUUCAGUAAGAGAAGGAAUUUAGGACAACUUAGAAUUUUUUCUCCUGCCCUAUUUUAUUGCAUGUAUGUGUAUUCAUAUUCAGCAAAAAGAAUCCCAAUGUUAGCCUUUGGUGUCUUCAUGUCCAAACAGUAUUUUCCCAAUUCAUUUAAUUUUUUUAUUUAAAAUUAAUAUAUCUGGCUAAAGACAUUAGAAAAAUUGUAUCAACUGAACAAAAUUUUUAAAUGACUCAUGGUUCCACUGGCAAAGGAAUAAACUCGGCUUUGAGUAAACUCUUGAAAUGUUCCUUUGAAAUAUGCUUAGUCUUUAAUGUUCAUUUGAUUGAUUGUGAUCAUAAUACAUAUAUAAGUUUGCUUCUUUAUUAUUCAUUUUUAUAUCACAAACUCUUUUCUCAUUAUUAUAAAUUUUAUGGUAAUAAUAUUUUAGAUAAUUUCUAACCUAUGGUAGGAAUGUCCCUAGUUUAUUUGACCUCUAUAUGUUAAACAUUCAUUCUCUUUUAAAGUCUUAUGUGUUACAGUGAUAUGUUGUUUCUAAUUUUUGUCUUCCUUCCAUUUGUAUUAAUUUAGCAGAAAAUAAACUUCCAGAAAUAAAAUCAAUUUCUUAAUUUUAGGAGUAUUUAUAGGCUGUAAUGUAGAGUAUAUUUGGAUACAUAUAUUGGUUAGAAAUUUAAAGAGCAGUAAAAAUAAAAAUGAUUC